ACCUUUGUGAACAUACCCACGUUGCUUCGGCGGCCUCGCCCCGGGCGUCGCGUCCCCUCCGGGGCUCGCGGCGGCCGGAACCCGGCGACCGCCGGGGGACCCAAACUCUUGUUUUCACAGUGUCUUCUGAGUGGCAUAAGCAAAUAAUCAAAACUUUCAGCAACGGAUCUCUUGGUUCUGGCAUCGAUGAAGAACGCAGCGAAAUGCGAUAAGUAAUGUGAAUUGCAGAAUUCAGUGAAUCAUCGAAUCUUUGAACGCACAUUGCGCCCGCCAGUACUCUGGCGGGCAUGCCUGUCCGAGCGUCAUUUCAACCCUCAGCACCCGCUGCGAAGCGGGAGCUGGCGUUGGGGAUCGGCCGCCCUCAGCGGCGGCCGGCCCCGAAACGAAGUGGCGGCCGCGUCGCGACCUCCUCUGCGCAGUAGCGAUACCUCGCAGCCUGGAUAGCGGCACGGCCACGCCGUAAAACCCCAACUCUUUCAAGGUUGACCUCGGAUCAGGUAGGAAUACCCGCUGAACUUAAGCAUAUCAAUAAGCGGAGGAAAAGAAACCAACAGGGAUUGCCUCAGUAACGGCGAGUGAAGCGGCAACAGCUCAAAUUUGAAAUCUGGCCCCCAGGCCCGAGUUGUAAUUUGUAGAGGAUGCUUCUGGCGACGCGACUUCCGAGUUCCCUGGAACGGGACGCCAAAGAGGGUGAGAGCCCCGUCCGGUCGUUCGCCUAGCCUCUGUGAAGCUCCUUCGACGAGUCGAGUAGUUUGGGAAUGCUGCUCUAAAUGGGAGGUAUACGUCUUCUAAAGCUAAAUACCGGCCAGAGACCGAUAGCGCACAAGUAGAGUGAUCGAAAGAUGAAAAGCACUUUGAAAAGAGGGU
rnacentral:sRNA from 1 species